rnacentral:lncRNA from 1 species
AGAGGACUCUGGAGGCACAGGAGUACCAUCAGGAUAAAGAGGGAAGCACAGAGUUCUGAGAUACACAGAACUCACUGGAGCCCAGGUACAAGGCCAAGUACUCUGUCUCACACAUGACAGAUCUAUACGCAGGGAGCUAUUGCUCUUAUUAUCUCAGCCACACUGACUGGUCAGAGCGCAGUGACCCCCCUGGAGCUGGUGGUGACAGGUGAAAGGACAGACUUGGGUCCCAGCCCAAGGCUCUGUCCUCAGGAAGGGAGCCUGCUCUGAGAGGUGUGUCCCCUCUCACUUCCUAGCCCUGAGGGAUAUGAUGGAGUUGUGAACCUCAUUCUCCUUCUCUCCUAGGAACCUACAGCAAAGCCACCCUUUCAGCCCUGCCAAGACCUAUGGUGACCUCAGGAGGAUACCUGAUCCUCCAGUGUGGGUCAUAGGAGGAUCUUACAGGUUCAUUCUGACUAAGAAAGUAGAACACAAGCCCUCCUGGAUGCUGGACUCACAGCUACAUCCCAAUGGCCUCGCAUCCUCAAGACUACAUAGUGGAAUAUCUCAUCCAGGUGGGAAUGACUUGCUUCAUCUUGGUGGUCCUCGGGAUUCUGCUAUUUCAGGCUCUGCACAGCCAGAGAAGGAACUAAGAUGCAGCCAGGAGGUAAACACAAGAGAACAAACCCACAACUCAGUGAGGUAGAAACUUGAAAAUUAAUCUUAUGGACCCAAGAUGUUCUGAAAGGAAAUAUGCAGCAUAUAUUGGUUGAAUUCUCUGCUGAGAAUAUCGAGGAGGUAAACAUGGUUUGGGUGCAGGAAAAUGUCUGGGUGUCUCCAGUCAGGAUUCUUCCUCUAUUAAACCAUGGUGCUUUCCCUCCCUGCCACUGCUGACUCUCCUCGAUUGCCUUCUUUCUUUUCUCACCCCUAUAACAUGAAGGUACAUACAACAUGGCAGGUUUGGAUCCACGCCUAUACACACUUUCUUGCUCUGGACUGCCUUUUAUAAACAAAAUCUGCUAUCUCCAUCACGUUGAACUUUUAUUCAGCCAUAAAAGGAACGAAGUACGGAUACACACAACAGUGUGAAUGAACAUCAAAAAUAUGAAUCUAAGUGAAAGAAGCCAGACACCAGAGAUCACAUUUUGUAGGAUUUCAUUUAUAUAAAACAGAGAGAAGAAGAAAA